UACGGAGGGUGCAAGCGUUAUCCGGAUUCACUGGGUUUAAAGGGUGCGUAGGUGGGAAUGUAAGUCAGUGGUGAAAUCUCCGUGCUUAACAUGGAAACUGCCAUUGAUACUAUGUUUCUUGAAUUUUCUGGAGGUCAGCGGAAUAUGUCAUGUAGCGGUGAAAUGCUUAGAUAUGACAUAGAACACCAAUUGCGAAGGCAGCUGGCUACAGGGAUAUUGACAUGAGGCACGAAAGCGUGGGGAUCAAACAGG
rnacentral:rRNA from 1 species